CACUUUCAUGAACGUGUCAUGAACAUUAUAAACAAUUCAUAAACGUUGAUGACAUAAAGCUUCUUUUAGUAAGUUUGAACAAAGCUUUAUUUUA